CAGAGACCCUGAAGAUUCUCAGCUGUUAUCACACUUCUUGCAGUCUGAAUCCUUGCAAUUCCCAUACAGUGCAGCUCCCAUACAGACGGUCAAGACCAACGAAUUUAGAUAUGAGUGGACAACAUGGCACCAUUUACUCCCAUUGUGAGCUUUUGAAGCCUUUUUUGGUCAAACUGAAGGUUGCCUUCUUGUGAAAAUUGGAUCCACAGUCUGCGCAGUAGAGACCUUAGAGCCAGAGCAUGCGCAGCAGAUUCGGCCAGUGCGUCCGCCUUUAGCCCGACCAUAUUGCUAGUGGACACGCCCCUGCUUCAAUCCGGUAGCAUGCGCACUUAGAGCUUGAAGUGCAACUUAAAAUGGCAUAUCGAACACUAUCUCAAAAGAGUGAAAGUAGAGCGUUAUAAAUUAAUUAAUUAGUAAAAUGCUAAAUUCUAGUCAUAUAAUUUGUGCAAAUAUGUUAAUUUUACCAUCGUCAGGUAAAUGAUUUUAGAGCUUUGUCAUGACUGUCUGAGCUACUGUUUGCUAGCUAGCUGACAUUGACAAAUCCAUUAUGGAUCCAUUAAGUAAUGAAGCAUCACAGACUGGUUUGGGAACACCACCAAGCAGGAUAGGCAGACUCUCCAGCAGGCGUUGUGAUUAGCUGAGCGCACCAUCUGCACUGAGCUCCCUGACCUGCAAGUGGUGCAGGACAAGGCCAGGAAGACAGUGAAGAACCUCAGCCAUCCGAACAAUGGACUCUUCUCCCCGUUGCUUUCAUGAAGCACUUACACUCCCUGAGGGCCAUUACAGAGAGAAUGAGGAGGAGCUUCUUCCCACAGGCCAGUUAAUAUACCCGUAUUACCCCGCAUUUCCCCGUAUUUAUAAAUAUUUAUUAUAUAUGUUCGUUAUUUCACUGCAACUAUCUCUGAUGUUGCACAACAUUGUAUUGCACAUACAACUGCAUUUUAUUCCACAAAUAGUUUGUAUUUUUUCUGCCAUUUAUCUUUCAUAUCCUUGCAAGUAAAUUCUGGUUUAUGUAAAUACAGUCGAAAAAAGCAUUGCACUUAUAUUUUUAUAUAUAUAUAUAUAUAUAUAUAUAUAUAUAUAUAUACAUAUGUUUACUCUUGGUUUGAGCCCUGGGCUUCACUUGUGACCACUGUAUGUGUUGUUAAAAAGAAUACAAUACAAAUUGUAUUGAGAUACACCAAUACAAAUACAACAAGUAGGAAUGUCCUGAAAAAGAAAUAAACCACUGUUGUACUAAAAACCAGCCAUCAAACAGGCCGCCCAAGGAAAACAACAGUAGCCGAUGACAGAAACGUUGUGAGAGCUGUGAAGAAAAACCCAAAAGCAACAGUCAGUGACAUCACCAACAACCUGUACAGGGCAGGGGUGAAGGUAUCUCAACUCCAUUUGAAGAACACUUUGAGAGCAGAAAUGUAGAGGCCAUACCACAAGAUGCAGUAAGAAUUAGAAGGUCAGAUUGGAAUUCACAAAGAAAUACAGAGAUUAGCCACAAAAGUUCUGGAACUAAGAUUAACCUCUACGAAAGUGAUUCAAAGGCCAAAGUGUGGAGAAAGAAAGGAUCUGCUCAUGAUACAAAACAUAUAAGCUCAUCGGUCAAGCAAGAUGGAGGUAGCGGCAUGGCUUGGGCUAUGCAUGGCUGCUUCUGGAAUGGGCUCACUAAUCUUUAUUGAUGAUGUAACUCAUGAUGGUAGCAGCAGAAUUAAUGCAGAAGUGUACAAAACCUUAAGUCGGCCAAAUUUACAGAGAAAUGUAUCCAAUCUAAUCGGGAGGAACUUCAUCACGCAGAACGACAAUAACCUAAAACACAUUGCCAACACAACAAAGGACUUCAUCAAUGGGAAAAAAGUGGAAGGUUUUAGACUGGCAGACCUUAAUCCAAUUGAGCACACAUUUCACCUUUUAAAAAGGAAAAUGCCACACCUGAGAAAUCUCCCAAAACAAACAAAAGCUGAAAGAAGCUGUAGUACAAGCCUGGGAAAUCAUCACAAAAGAUGAAUGCAACAGUUUGGUGAUGUCAGUGGGUUGCCAGCUUGAUGCAGUUAUUGCAAGCAAGGGAUAUGCAACCAAAUAUUAAGUGUUAUUUACUUUAAUUUACUUUAAGACCAGUCUAAGACUUUUGUUUAUCUAAAAAUUGUGUAGUCUGCCACAAAAGGUGCAGUUGUUUAACAUAUCUAAUAUCAGGAAAUGAAAGUGGAAAUUCUGAUCCAUCUUCUCAUAUUCAUCUUUUGAUCUCAAACCGAAAUGUCUUCAAUGUAUAGCAAAAGAACUGGCCUCCAAUAGUUUUGGAGGGGACUAUGUAUAAAAAAAGUACACCCUCCUUCAAUUAUAUGUUUUUAUUUAUCAGGGUCUAAAUAACAAUUGUGUGGUCCUCCCCAACAAAUAAACUCAGGUAACAACAAAAAGCAACAGAUUUCAAUAUGAAGUCAUUGUUUUCCAAGUGAACCAAUAUUAAGAAACCAGGUGGUAAAAAAUAAGAACACCCAGUGAUUCAGUAACAUGUACAACCACCUUUAGCAACAAAAAUAAUAAAACAUUUUCUGUAGGAGCUCACAUCAGUCUCUCACAUCAUUUUGGAGAAAUUUUGGCCCACUUUUCUUUACAACAUUGCUUCAGUUCAUUAGGGCCUUUCGCACCGCGGGAACCUUUUCAUAGUACCUGAACUAAUUGUGGAACUACCCACUUUUUGGCGUUUUCGCACCUCCGGAACUGGGUGUGAUUUUAGUACUGGACUGCCUUUUUCGAGAACCAAAUUAGCUCCUAUUAGCAGGGUCUAACCAGCACAACUGGUACUAUCCGUGACGUAAGUAGACGUUGAUUGGCCAAACGCAUACGAAAGCGCCAUGAUUUAAAAUGCUGUGUAAACAUACCGUUCUUUCAAUCGCUUUACAUAUACGUCGACAUUCCAUGUCCAUUAUUGUGAAACCCGCGAGACACAAAAAAAACACAGCUCCGAUCACAGCGUCCUCCAUUCUCCGGUUGUUUACGUUGUUCUUCUUUGUUUCCGUUGUUGAACGCCGCGCACAAAUGACGUCGCUGUCGACCGGCUUACGUCACUUCCUAGUGCCCACUGCAACCCUUUAAACGGUACUGGGAAACAGUUCACACAAAAUCGCCAAGUACUUUAGUACUGUAAAUUUAGUUCUGGAACUAAACGGUGCGAAAGGCCCUAACGAUGUUUGAGGGUAUUCUUUUAAGCACAGCCUUCUUAAGAUCCCGCCACAGCAUCUCAAUGGAGUUGAGGUCUGGACAUUGACUUGGCCAUUCCAACAACAAUUUUUUUUUCUUUAGCUAUUCAGAUGUUGAUUUGCUGGUGUGCUUUGGAUCAUUGUCCUGUUGCAUGACCCAAUUUUCGGGCCAAGCUCAAGCUGUUGGACAGAUAGCCUCACAUUUGUCUCAAGAAUAUUCUGGUAUAAAGUGAAGUUUAUCUUUGUCUCAAUGAUUGCAAGUUUCCCAGGCCCUGUGGCUGCAAAACAAGCCCAAAUCAUGGUGUCGUGCUUGGAUUUAUCUUUAUAUCUCUGAGCAUUAAAUGGUCAGACAAUUUGCUGGGAUGCCUACUCCUGGGAAGAUUGGCAACUGUCUUGAAUGCACUCCAUUUGUAAACAGUCCUUCUCACUGUAGAAUUGUGAAUUUCUGAAUUGUGAAUUGUGAAUUGUGAAUGGCUGAAUUGUGAAUGGCUGCUAAUUACUCUCUUAAUGAUUGUGAUUGUGAAUGAUUGAAGUAGGAAUGGUGUACUUAUUUUUCCCACCUGGUUCCUGAAUGUUAGUUUACAUUUUGGGGAAAGUGACUGCAUAAAACUUUUUUUUUGUGUGUGUGUCACCUGAGGUUUUUUGUUUGUUUAUAGAAGUUUGUUUACACACAGUUUUUUUUUUAGGCCCCGAUAAAUGAAAACCAUAUAAUUGAAAAUUAUAUACUUUCUUUUUCUUAUGACUGUAUGUAUAUUAAAAACUGAGGUAAAGAAUUACAAAAUAAAUUGUUAAACAACUAUUAUACAUUAUAAUAAUAAUAAUUAUACAUAUAAAUAGGGUCAAAUAAAAUAAUAUAAAACAAAUACAAUAAUUUACAAGGCAUUUUAAAAUGCAAACACUAAAAUUUAUGCUUCUUUUUUUUUUUUUAAUUAAGCAAACCCGUCAAGCUGAAUUUAGCUUAAAAAUGUACCAUUUCAGUUAGUUCAAACCCUGACGACACCCAAAAAUAUUUCUUAUUAUUCAACAGUUGAUUCUGGUCCACUAAUUUGAUUGGUUGAGCAGCAUUCCAAGAGUGACUAUAUUUCCUAUAACCACACUGUUUGUAUUAUUCCGCUCGUCGAAACUUGCUAGUUCGAAACCGUUAGUACAGUAGUGUUGGCGACAUCAUCAACAGGCUUUUGACCUGAUAAACAAUACUUUUCAGGUAUACAACCUUUGGCUUAUGAAAGCUCGUCAGUUGAAGAUGCAAAAGAAGAAGGGACGCAAAUUUUACUGGAAACACCUUUAAUGGGAAUGUACAAAUCAAUAUGAUCUAGCUAGUGAGCUAGCCGACAUGUUAUAAAGUGAGUGUGGCUUCUUCAAAAUCUAUUUCCGCUAGAGGAGCAAAAUAAACGAAACAUUUGGGCAUAUUGUGUACUAAAUGUCACUAUUAAUUACAAUUAAUUAAUUUAUAGAACUUAUAGUUGUAUAAAAGCAAUAUUACCUACAGCACGUGGCCUGCGGGCUUGUGCCUGCUUCAUUCGAAGCACAGCCGUGCCAAUAUUCUGUAUAACCGCACUCUUGCUUAUGUGAUAUUGCUUAAAUAGGACUUGAAAAAUUAUUCUCAUUUCACCUGCUUUCGUAACUCCCAGAAUUCCAUGCCACAAAAAAAUACCCUCAUUGAAUUUCCCAGCAGCACAACAGCCCUUUGCUGUUGUGUUCUUCAAUAAAACCUGCAUUUGCAUUCCUGACAGUGGCUACUUAGGUAAAGGUAUUGAAACAAGGAAAAUAAUUUCUUCAUUGGCUGCGAGUGUCUAAGUUGCUAUAAUUCCAGAAAGAACUGUAGGAUGAUUGACGUUUCAACCACCUGAGUGGUGCUUAUCUUUAAAGUCAACAAGCUUCUAUUGUAGCAACUUAACGUUCAUUAGCCUAACACUUCUUACACUAGAUACUAGAUAGUUAGCUUUAGAUAGUUAGCUAACUUUAUCCAUUUUAAUUACAUCAGCAACUGGAAGCAAGAAAUAGGAAGUUAAUUAGUGUUCAUUACUUACUGGUGCUUUGGCAAUGUUUCUCCUAUUCUGGAUUUUCUUUUUUGCAUUUUUCCACCCCAGAUAUGAACACUUCACAAUCACUGUUUCUUAAUGACCUUCUGAUAUUAGUUAUGCCGGUUACCUAAUUUAGUUACGUAAAUUGUAGUUUCUGUUCUUUUAACACUGCAAGGGAGCUCCCUGUGACUGCCACACACAUAAAUCUUUUAGCCAAAUGAUAGUUAAUGGUGCUUUUUUGUAUAUUUUAAAAAUCAUGGGGCCCCCUGGUGGUCCAGGGGCCCUAAGCGACAGCUUAUAGCAAAAAACAGGUCUGCUGUUACUUAUGCAAGGAAAUGUAGACCAUUAUCACCUCAAGUAACAUAAGAGUUAGCUUGCUGGCAGAUAGCCUAAAUCUGAACAAUUAUUAAAGACUACUCUAGUACAGUUACUGUGUGUAGAACAUAUCGAUUAUCAACAAAUAAUAUUCUUAGGUUCAAUCUGUUGUAGCAUCAAGUGAGUUGUAAUUAAAAUUCCACUGAUUUGCUGUUAGCAUAGCCUGAUAGAGAGUUAGCAUUGUGCUAAAUUAUGAUGCCAAUUUGUCAGUAACAACUGGCAUAUUCUGCAGAAAGUGGGCACAUUUGAGAAUGCUGUAAACAAAUCAAAAUAACAAAAUUUCAUGAAGUUUUUUUUCAAAAAAGUUUGUUCUGUGUGAUUGAAACUAAAAUAAAGUAACUGUAUAAGCAAUCACAGUGUUUUUAUAUUUGUUAUUUUUCAGUUAGAACAACUUUAUUUCAGAAAAUACUUUGAAAGUGGACAGAAAACAAUCUUGAAAACAAUGUUUUAUGCCAGUUGCGAAAGUAACAUGUUCAUCUGUCCACCUGCGUCACAUUAGCCCUCGCUGUUCAUCACAAGAUGGAGUCACUAACACUGGAUGACACAGGAAAUUUAACUCAUAACCACCUUGCUGAUAUCAUCUGAGCAAGAUUUUGGAUUAUCAGUUAAUAACGUUUUGGCAAACGUUAAUUCUGUCUACGACGGAGGAGUAAUACUCAGGAUCAUUUGACCUUGAUGUCAACACCUGUAAGGGAAGUUCAUUCCACCACCUUGGUGCCAGAACAGAGAAGAGUCUCGAUGCAUGCCUUCCUUGUACCCUGAGAGAUGGAGGGACCAGUCGAGCAGUGCUAGAGGACCGGAGGGAGCGUGGUGGCGCUCGAGGAUGGUUAGUUGCAGCACAUAACUACGUCGGCUCAUGAGGAAAAAAAGAUCCAAAAGAUACUAAGAAUAUCUCAAUAAACAAAAGCAAAGAGCAAAACAAAAAAGAGAUUAAUUAAAGGAGAACUUGCAGAAGAAAAGGCCAGUGGCAGCAGCAAAGGAGCAGCACAAGAAAAAGAACAAGUUCGCCUUUGGCAGAGGAGAUUCCGGCUGAAGCAGAUUGAAAAUGACCACCUCCAGACAGUCUGAAAUUCCCCUUUUUACAGCUAGGAGGUAUACCAGCAUAUGCAGGUCUCCAUUUCCUGCAAUGCCUCUCUACACCUUCACUCUUGCCCUAAAUGACUUCCUGUUGACUCCUUAUUUUCUUCAUAUUUUUUUGCAAGGGUCUAAAGUUUUUUUUUUACUAUUAUUAUUAUUACGCCUUCUACCAUUUUUAGACAGCUACUAUAAUUUCUCUGUAAGUAAAGGAAUAGUGCACAUUAGGUGAUGUUAACAUCACCUAUACAGUAAUGCAUAGAAGUUUGAAAGGAAGUGGCUCAAGUGGGCUUGAAAGGAACAAACUAGGCUUAAAUGGGACAGCUAUAAUAAUUAGAGAAAAAGUUAUAAUACUACUUUAUCUGUGAAAGUUAUUUAAAAAAUACAUUUCAAGCGCACACAUUUACCAGGGGGACUGAAACAUAUUAACUAUUUUCCAAAUAAUAUGUAAAAAAAAAAAAAAUUCUCAUUUAAAGUCAGUUAAAUAGAGCAUACUUCAUGUACCACUGUACCAUUUAAGCCCACGUGGGAAAAAAAAUGCUGAUUUAUAAAAAUAUUUGUUUAAAUCAAACAUAAUAGAAACAUUAUAGUUUAUUUCUAACUAGAGUUAUAUGAAACAAAUUAGACUGUACACGACAUUAUUCCAGUGUCUUAGCUAACUUGGAAAACAAGUUAGCAUUUUCUGGCCUCAUUUUCUGUUUGACAAGAAAUAGUAUUAAAUCGUUAAUUAUUUUAUUUUUAAAAGCAUUACAUCAUAUACAUAAACCAAAGCAUUAAUCUCCCUAUUUUACAUGCCAUUACAUUAUUUACCACAGGAAUAGCUGAAAAUGCACUUUUUUUAGGUAGCUGCUAAACAGCAAAGAUUUUGUUAUUCUCUUCAAGAUCACCAGGGACUGCAUGCACAUUGCAUGUCUUCACUCAAUACUGGCUAAUCUGAUAUCUGCAUGCAACAAAAACAUCAAUCUAGUAACAAAUUGCAAAGCUGGCUAAAACAACGUUUGCUUUCUUUCUUUCUUUAAACUUUGUCAACAUUGAAAGAGGUCUUAAAGAGUAAAUGGGCUUAGUGGGUGCACUUACCUACAUUUUAUAUAUACAUACAUAUAUAUAAAAUUUGUCUCCAGUCGUCCUCUUGCUGGAGUAACCUGGGCUUGGAUGACCGUCCAUGAGGGUUCCACAGGCUGUAGCCCAUCCCACAAAUUUGUGUGUGUGUAUUAAUUUACUUAUAUUCUGUUGGUUAUCUCAAAUUAUUUUGAGGAUCAUUUGUAAUAACAUAGAAAAAUGCAGAACGUCAGCUGACUGCGUAAAUGCGUAUGCUGGAGCAUAACCAUUGUUGGCAGCCCACAUGAGGCCAGUGUCAUGAGGCCAAUGUGACACCAAUGAGAAAAUCACCAAAUGUCCUGUGUGGGCUGCCCAUAUUGAACCAGAAAAGGCCUCAUGUGGCUGCCCACUGGGGUUUUCAUUAAUAUGAUUCAAGUGAAGCCAUGAUCUCUAGCUGCUGGCAUUCAUACUUUCAUCUGAAAAUUUAGCCAGCCUAGCGAUAGACCUACUCUUGACAAUUUGUAGAUUCAAUAUUUUUCAUUACAUUUUCAUUUUUGCAAUUUAUGAUUUCAGCAAAUUAAUUUAAUUAAUAAAGAGAAAGGAGAUAAUGAAUAAUGAAUUUCCAAAAUUCCAAAUAUUUUGAAAAACAAACAAUUAUUUUUAAUUUUUAGUUAUUAUUAUUUUUUAUUAUUUUAAUAAUUGCUAUUAUACCAUUUUUAAAAAUCAUUUUUGGUUUUUCAUUUCAGUUUAAAAAUAUGAUAAUGAAUGAACACAAAAGUACACAGCCCAUUUAAAAGUAGCAACUGAUUCCACUUUUGAUUUACUAGGAUUUUGACACAUGAUCUAUACUUUCACAUAUAUAUAAUUUUUAUAAUUCUUAUAUAUAAUAUUUUCACUUAUAAGUAUAAUUUCUCAGUGCAUUUUCCAUCCCUGAGUGUGCGGUGUACUCGCUGAGAGAGGGGAAUUGAAAACUUGGUGACUGAAACUGAACUGAUGCCCUCUGCAAACCCAGGCAGCAGAGCCACCACUUCCUGUGGAGACAGAGCAACAUCUUCUGCAGAGCCAGCUGAAGAGCUGAACUCUGAAGAGUCAGGAGCCAGACACUGGUCACCCAGGCAGGAUGGCUCAGGAAACCAACACCCCAGCUGGUCAGUGAAGGCGUCAGUGAAGUCAGGAAGUGGAAUGAUUACAACCCCUGGCAAAAAUUAUGGAAUCACCACACUUAGAGGAUGUUCAUCCAGCUUUUUUACUUUAUAGCAAACAAAUAAAUCACAGAUAUGACACAGAAAGGUUUUGUUCAAUAGCUUAACAUUCUGGCUUUGUGAAACAUACAUCAAAAAAAUUCACUGACAAAUUCAGUUUUUUUAUUAAUGGCAUGUCUUUUUCCAAAUCAAGUAGAGGAAAACUUGGAAUCAGCAUUGGAAUCACUCAAUGUUGAGGAAAAUAUUAUGGAAUCAUCUUAAUUUUCAUGCCUUUCUUAAUUUCCACUUCUAAAACAAAUACCGGGACAAGUCUUAAAAUGCUAAUUAGUCAGCAGUUAAAAGGGAGUGCUUACACACCUUAACGAGCUGUUGGACUUGGCUAUUUGAAAGGAAACAUGGCUCCAACGAGAGAGUUGUCAGUUGAAACAAUGGAACGGAUUAUAAAACUCCUUCAACAAGGAAUUUCAAUGCGGAGUGUGGCCAAAUAAGUUGGUUGCUCUCAGUCAGCUGUGUCUAAAAUUUGGUGCAAAUAUAAACUUAAUGGGAAGGUUAUAAAAGGAAAACAUACAGGCAGACUAAGGAAGACGUCAAAGCGUCAGGAUAGAAAACUGAAAGCAGUAUGCCUUGAAAAAACAAAUGGGCAGAAACAGGAGUCAAUGUUUGUGACAGAACUAUAAGAAACCGGCUGAAUGAGAUGGGAUUUACAUAUAGAAAAGCCAAACGAAAACCAGCACUAACACCAAAACAGAAGAAAACAAGGUUACAAUGGGCUAAGGAGAAGCAAUCAUGGAGUGUGGAUGAUUGGAUGAAAGUGAUAUUCAGUGAUGAAUCAUGAAUCUGCACUGGCCAAGGAGAUGAUGCUGGAACUUUUGUCUGGUGCCGUUCUAACGAAACAUAUGAAGAUGACUGCCUGAAGAAAACAAUCAAAUUUCCCAACUCCUUUAUGAUAUGGGGUUGCAUGUCAAGUAAAGGACCAGGGGAGAUGGCAGUCAUUACCUCAGCAGUCUAUGCACAGGUGUACAUUGAAAUUUUGGACACUUUUCUCAUUCCAUCCAUAGAAAAUAAGUUUGGUGAUGAACUAAUUUUUCAGGAUGACAAUGCUUCUUGCCACAGAGCAAAGAGUGUUAAAGCUUUUCUACAGGAAAGGCAUAUCAACUCAGUGACAUGGCCAGCAAACAGUCCGGAUCUCAAUCCAAUUGAAAAUUUAUGGUGGAUAUUAAAAAAAACUGGUCUAUGAUAAGGCUCCAUCCUGCAAAGCUGAUCUGUCAACUGCUAUUCGAGAAAAUUGGAACCAGAUUGAUGGAGAAUAUUGUUUUUCAUUAGUGAGGUCUAUGCGUCACAGAAUUCAGGCUGUCAUAAAAGCCAGAGGAGGAGCAACAAAGUACUAAUUGUGUUUUUUUGUUGAUGAUUCCAUAAUUUUUUCCUCAACAUUGAGUGAUUCCAUACUUUUUUCCUGUACUUGAUUUGGAAAAUGACAUGCCAUUAAUAAAAAAAAAAUGUCAGUGAAUUUUUUUGAUGUGUUUCACAAAGCCAGAAUGUUAAGCUACUGAACAAAACCUUUUUUGUGUCAUAUCUGUGAUUUGUUUGUUUGCUUUAAAGUAAAAGCUGGAUGAACAUCCUCUAAGUGUGGUGAUUCCAUAAUUUUUUUGCCAGGGGUUGUACAUCAUCCACAAAGAUAGCAGGUGGUGUGACAAUUAGUAGUUAAUAGGCAGAGCAACAACUUCCUCACUGAGGUCAGGAGAAGAAGCACCGAUGUCCUCAUUGGGGUCAGGAGGUGGAAAAACAACGCUCUUUCUGGGGUGGACAGGUGAGGUCUUGUUAUAAGCCUCAGGUUUGGAUGGAGAGGUUGCUUUGCUGGCCUUAUGCUUGGCUGGAGGGUCCUUGGCCCAGGCCUCAGUCUUGGCUGUAGAGGUCUCAGGCUUGGCUGGAGAGGCCUCAGCACGAGCCUCAAGCAGGGCAGCCUCUGUUCUCCAUCUGUCUCCAGUCGUCCUCUUGCUGGAGUAGCCUGGGCUCAAUGAAUGAACACAAAAGUGAGGGUUCCACAGGCUUUAGCCAAUCCCCCAAUUUUUCCAAGGAAGACUCUCUCUGGUCAGUGGGAACACCUUGCUCAGGAGACUACAGAAAUCUGCCAUAUUCUCUAGGCCUGAAUGACCUUGGGUGACAAGGUUUUUUGCCCAUUCAGGAGCGUUACCAUAAGCUGUGAUAGCAUGAACCUCACUCUCACCAGGAUUGGCGUCCACCAAGCAUUGAGAAUACAGUUCACACUGCAUGCUUAAUCCAUCUGGGGAAAACUUUUAACCAUCAUAUUCUCUUGGUGCAACCCAGGGAAUCAAGGGCAGGAAAGGGAGUAUGGCUUACAAACAUUCUCUUCAGCCCAAGAGUUCUUUGCGUGGGCUUGUGGGCAGUGGGGUGGCUUUAGGAGCAGCGACUGGUGCCUUUCUGUCACUCCACCUAAAAAAUCCAGGCCUGUCACUUUCCUGCAAGAUCUCCUGCUUCUUACACUGAGCCUCUGCAUCCUUAUGAUGCGAAGUCUUCUGUAAUGUCAAUGUACUGAAGGCAGGACUCAAGUGUGUAAAAUCAGCAAGCUGUUUAUUGAGGAUAAUCUAAGAAUAAUUGUCAUUGUUCACAGACGGGGGUCAAAUAACA